UACGGAGGAUCCAAGCGUUAUCCGGAUUUAUUGGGCUUAAAGGGUGCGUAGGCGGCCCUGUAAGUCAGUGCUGAAAUCUCCCGGCUUAACCGGGAGGGUGGCAUUGAUACUGCGGGGCUAGAGUACAGAUGAGGUAGGCGGAAUUGACGGUGUAGCGGUGAAAUGCUUAGAUAUCGUCAAGAACACCUAUAGCGAAGGCAGCUUACUAGGCUGUAACUGACGCUGAGGCACGAAAGUGUGGGGAGCAAACAGG
rnacentral:rRNA from 1 species